UACGUAGGCAGCAAGCGUUGUUCGGAGUUACUGGGCGUAAAGGGUGUGUAGGCGGUUAUUUAAGUUUGGUGUGAAAUCUCCCGGCUCAACCGGGAGGGUGCGCCGAAUACUGAAUGACUUGGAGUGCGGGAGAGGUGAGUGGAAUUCCUGGUGUAGCGGUGAAAUGCGUAGAUAUCAGGAGGAACACCAGUGGCGAAGGCGGCUCACUGGCCCGAUACUGACGCUGAGGCACGAAAGCGUGGGGAGCAAACAGG
rnacentral:rRNA from 1 species